GCCCUUAGAGUUUGAUCAUGGCUCAGGAUGAACGCUAGCGGCAGGCCUAAUACAUGCAAGUCGUACGGUAAUUCCGGUGCCUGGCAUCGGAAACGAGUGGCGCACGGGUGCGUAACACGUAUGCAACCUACCCUGAACUGGGGGAUAACCCCGCGAAAGCGGAGCUAAUACCCCAUAGUAUCCUUUGGAGGCAUCUUCUUAGGAUUAAAGCCUUCGGGCGGUUCAGGAUGGGCAUGCGGCUCAUUAGCUAGUUGGUGAGGUAAAGGCUCACCAAGGCCAUGAUGGGUAGGGGUUCUGAGAGGAUUGUCCCCCACACUGGUACUGAGACACGGACCAGACUCCUACGGGAGGCAGCAGUAAGGAAUAUUGGGCAAUGGGCGAAAGCCUGACCCAGCCAUGCCGCGUGCAGGAUGACAGCCCUAAGGGUUGUAAACUGCUUUUCUAUGGGAAUAAACUCCCGAACUUGUUCGGGACUGCAGGUACCGUAGGAAUAAGCAUCGGCUAACUCCGUGCCAGCAGCCGCGGUAAUACGGAGGAUGCAAGCGUUAUCCGGAUUCAUUGGGUUUAAAGGGUGCGUAGGCGGGCAUCUAAGUCAGAGGUGAAAAACCCGGGCUCAACCCGGGCUGUGCCUUUGAAACUAGAUGCCUUGAGUGCAGCCGAGGUGGGCGGGAUGUGGAGUGUAGCGGUGAAAUGCAUAGAUAUUCCACAGAACACCGAUAGCGAAAGCAGCUCACCAGAGUGCAACUGAC
rnacentral:rRNA from 1 species